rnacentral:sRNA from 1 species
UCUCUGUACGGGAAGGAUGAGAAGCUUCGACUAAGGUUCGAUUCGAGCGCAGCGAGAAAGCGUUGCCGCAGGCAACGACCCGAAGGGCGAAGCGCGCAGCGCUGAGUAAUCCUUCCCCCACCACCA